rnacentral:rRNA from 1 species
CCUACGGGAGGCAGCAGUGGGGAAUAUUGGACAAUGGGCGCAAGCCUGAUCCAGCAAUGCCGCGUGAGUGAUGAAGGCCUUAGGGUCGUAAAGCUCUUUUACCAGGGAUGAUAAUGACAGUACCUGGAGAAUAAGCUCCGGCUAACUCCGUGCCAGCAGCCGCGGUAAUACGGAGGGAGCUAGCGUUGUUCGGAAUUACUGGGCGUAAAGCGUACGUAGGCGGUUAUUCAAGUCAGAGGUGAAAGCCCGGGGCUCAACCCCGGAACGGCCUUUGAAACUAGGUAGCUAGAAUCUUGGAGAGGUCAGUGGAAUUCCGAGUGUAGAGGUGAAAUUCGUAGAUAUUCGGAAGAACACCAGUGGCGAAGGCGACUGACUGGACAAGUAUUGACGCUGAGGUACGAAAGCGUGGGGAGCAAACAGGAUUAGAUACCCUGGUAGUCCACGCCGUAAACGAUGAUAACUAGCUGUCCGGGCACUUGGUGCCUGGGUGGCGCNGCUACGACAUUAAGUUAUACCGUCCGUCGGGAGGUACGGUCGCGAGAGUAAACGUAACGAAAGAAAGUUAGACGGUCGUGAGACGUUGCCGACGGACGACGACGAGGGAGGAGG